rnacentral:lncRNA from 1 species
UUUAUCUUUGUACAUGUAACUACUAACUUGCAAAAGCAGAUUUUGACUUACAAUUUACAUGUACAUGUAUGUAUUUACUGUGAAAACUGUGCUGAAAAUGGUAAUUUGAUGGCAAUAACUUUAUUUUGACCUUGAGAGGUGAAUGUUGAUGAGAUCCUUUAAUGUUUCCUUGUUUAAUGAAUGACCUGUAUGUAUAUCGAUGCCUAAAGGAGAAUAGUACAUUUGUAAAUAUCUAUAGUCUAGACAAUUGACUAAUGACCACAAAAUUUCUCCUUAGUCAUGAACCCAACCAGAUUUUGCCUUUUUUUUCUUCUUUUUUCAGUUUUCUAAGUUGUUACCAAAGAAGGAGUGUCUGAAGGACAGGAUAUUUAUUACACUUUCAUAUUUCAUGUACAUUGAUGUACUACAUGCAGUCUUCAUGCUGGACUGCUAAAUCUACAGGCCCGCAGCUCAAUUUUUGAAAAUUUUUAGUUAGAUUGUGUUGGCCUGUAGGUCUGAUUCUUACAGGCCCGAGAGCAAUUUUACCAGCCUGGGCUGCCACUCGACGUGAAGACUGUACAUGAACAGUACAUAUUUAAUAAGUCACAGUAUUUUGACAAUUAAUUGCAAGUUUGAAUGUCUUGUUGUCAACCCAUGGCCAGUUCAGCUAAGUCUGCCAUUUUA